rnacentral:rRNA from 1 species
UACAGAGGUCUCGAGCGUUGUUCGGAUUCAUUGGGCGUAAAGGGUGCGUAGGUGGCGCUGUAAGUCAGGUGUGAAAUUUCGGAGCUUAACUCCGAAACUGCAUUUGAUACUGCGGUGCUUGAGGACUGGAGAGGAGACUGGAAUUUACGGUGUAGCAGUGAAAUGCGUAGAGAUCGUAAGGAAGACCAGUGGCGAAGGCGGGUCUCUGGACAGUUCCUGACACUGAGGCACGAAGGCCAGGGGGAGCAAACGGG